UGGAGGGAUGAACCUACUGACGGAAACAGCCAACUCCUUUUUGCCUAAACAUCUGCUUCUGAAAAUGCCAACUGAAAGUCCGUCAUGGAAAAGAGGAGAAGGAACCGUUCUGAGAAGGCAGUAACAUCAUGCCAGGCCACAGAAUUGUAAGGUGGAACCCUCAGCAUGAUGUAUGGAGAACUUAGUGUGAGCAGUGCUGCAGACUGAGAGGUUUUCUUUAUGGGAGUGAGAAGUUCUCAAAAUAAAGCCGUUCAGUACAUUUGAUGAGACUCUUGAAGCAAAAAGAAAUACAAGGAAAGUGCGGAAAAAUUCAUACUGAGCAUUAAUG